UGGGGAAUAUUGCACAAUGGGCGAAAGCCUGAUGCAGCGACGCCGCGUGAGGGAUGACGGCCUUCGGGUUGUAAACCUCUUUCAGCAGGGAAGAAGCGAAAGUGACGGUACCUGCAGAAGAAGCGCCGGCUAACUACGUGCCAGCAGCCGCGGUAAUACGUAGGGCGCAAGCGUUGUCCGGAAUUAUUGGGCGUAAAGAGCUCGUAGGCGGUUAGUCGCGUCUGCUGUGAAAACUCGAGGCUCAACCUCGGGCUUGCAGUGGGUACGGGCUGACUAGAGUGCGGUAGGGGUGACUGGAAUUCCUGGUGUAGCGGUGGAAUGCGCAGAUAUCAGGAGGAACACCGAUGGCGAAGGCAGGUCACUGGGCCGCAACUGACGCUGAGGAGCGAAAGCAUGGGGAGCGAACAGGAUUAGAUACCCUGGUAGUCCAUGCCGUAAACGUUGGGCACUAGGUGUGGGUCCAUUCCACGGAUUCCGUGCCGCAGCAAACGCAUUAAGUGCCCCGCCUGGGGAGUACGCCGCAAGGCUAAAACUCAAAGGAAUUGACGGGGUC
rnacentral:rRNA from 1 species